rnacentral:misc_RNA from 1 species
CUUGACAACAAUAAAAUCAGUACUGAUUUGUCAUCCAUCAAUUGGUCAGGAUGGGUAUUACUCACUGAGGAAGAUGAGAACUGGUCAUACACAAGCAUUUCUCAUUCUCAUCCAAAUCACCUCACGUUUGAGCUGUCACGACGCAGGAGGGCAUUUCUUGUGCUGUAGACUCCUGGAUUUUAAAAUGGGUAUGUUCCACUGUCCAUUUCGUAGAUGCCUAAUCCUGCCAUCAACCAUUAUAAUCUUAGAGCCAACACUAUUGAUAGUUAACCAAGAGAAAUCGCCAGCCCAGAUGAAUUACUUCACAUUAUGGAUACCUGUAACCAUUUUCUUCACCAUAAUAACACAGAUAAAGCUAGCUACAAGUCAGAUUCCAACAACUCUCGAAGGCCCAUUUAAGCCGGUAACUCGCACAUUUGAUUCUUCAUUGCGGAGAGGCAGUGAUGAUUUGCCAAUGGACCAUCCGCGUCUUAAGAAGAAUGUGACGGGAAACUUUCCAGAGCAGAUAGCACUGGCUAUCUCUUCACCAACUUCAAUGUGGGUUUCUUGGAUCACUGGGGAUGCACAGAUCGGUUCAAAUGUAACUGCUCUUGAUCCUGCUUCUGUGGCCAGUGAAGUUUGGUAUGGAAAGGAUAGUGGAAAGUAUACAAGUAAACAGAAGGGGAAUUCAACUGUUUAUGAUCAAUUAUACCCCUUUGAGGGACUUAUGAAUUACACUUCUGGCAUCAUUCACCAUGUCAGGAUUGAUGGUCUUGAACCUGGAAUAAAAUAUUAUUAUAAAUGUGGAGAUAGCUCUAUCCCAGCUAUGAGUGAAGAGCAUGUCUUUGAAACUUUACCAUCAUCUAGUCCAAAUUCAUAUCCUCAUCGAAUAGCUGUUAUUGGAGAUCUGGGCCUUACAAGUAAUUCAUCAACCACCAUAGAUCAUCUGGUCAUGAAUGAUCCUUCAUUAGUUUUAAUGAUUGGAGACUUGACUUAUGCAAAUCAAUACCUUACAACCGGUGGGAAAGGAGUCCCAUGCUUCUCUUGUGCAUUCCCUGAUGCACCUAUCAGAGAGACAUAUCAACCCCGUUGGGAUGGCUGGGGAAGGUAAUCUCUCUGGUGUCUUUAAAUCAUAGUAUGUGGAUGGGCAUGACUUGGAAUAAAAAAAAGUUGAUAAGUUACACAUGAUUAAAUCUUUUACUUAGAAAUUCAAAAUUUUCUUCUUUCACCAAUAUGGUUGGUUGUAUUAUGGAUGUGUGUGUACCUUGAUGAAAUGAAUUUCACGAUGUUUUAUUGUCGAAAUAGCUUUAAUGGGAAUUGCAGGUUCAUGGAGCCGCUGAUAUCAAGAGUUCCUAUGAUGGUUGUUGAAGGGAACCAUGAGAUUGAACCUCAAGUUGCUGGGAUAACUUUCAAAUAAUAGUUAACUAGAUUUUCAGUUCCAUCAGAGGAGUCUGGAUCUGGAAGUAACUUCUACUACUCUUUCGAUGCUGGUGGCAUACAUUUUAUCAUGUUGGGAGCAUAUGUUGACUAUAACAGUACUGGUUCUCAGUAUGCUUGGUUAAAGGAAGACCUAAAUCAAGUAGACCGCACUAAGACCCCUUGGCUGGUAGCUGCUUGGCAUCCACCUUGGUAUAAUAGCUAUUCCUCACACUAUCAGGAAUUUGAGUGCAUGAGGCAGGAAAUGGAAGCCCUUCUUUAUCAAUACCGCAUUGACAUUGUUUUUUCUGGUCAUGUAAGUUGGGAUCCACUCUAUUUAAACUCACCUAGAUGAAUCUUUACUUUAAACUCUAUUAUAAAGUUGUGUGGUAAUAUAAAGAAUAAUGGUUUAAUAAGAUUGAUUUGAUGCAGGAAUAACACAUAUUCUCAAGUUCUAGGAAGAAGGAGAGAGACACUAAUGAAGAGGGGAAACAGGGUUGAGAGGUGUAAUAUUCUAGGAAGGAUUAUUGAUUCUUUAAUUCUGUAAUUUCAUAAUCCAAUACAAAUUAUGCUAACUUUAUUUAUAGUAGUAACCUAUUUAAUUGGUUAUAACAACUCAAAUGGUCACUAAUACAACAACACCCUGUUCCCUUUCUCAUAUAACAUCACAGUAAAUCAGUUCCUAACAUAUUGAUAAGAAUGCUGAUCGCUAAAAUCAUCCUCUCCUGUCAUAAUUUAUAUCAUGACAAGGAAGAGAUUCAGGAGUGAGUGUAUGCCAUAAAAACAAAAUCAUACCUUAUUGCUUUAUGCCAAAAUUGUCUUCUUCCAUAUCACAUCAACUGUCUGCUGUGCAGGUGCAUGCUUAUGAACGGAUGAAUAGAGUCUAUAACUAUACAUUAGACCACUGUGGUCCUGUUUACAUAACUGUUGGAGAUGGUGGAAACAUCGAGCAAGUUGAUGUUGAUCAUGCAGAUGACCAUGGAAAAUGUCCUUCAGCUGGAGAUAACAUACCAGAAUUUGGGGGAGUGUGCCACAUUAAUUUUUCUGCUGGCCCUGCUAAGGACAAGUUUUGUUGGGACAAGCAGCCAGAAUGGAGCGCAUUCAGAGAAAGCAGCUUUGGACAUGGAAUACUUGAGGUAUGGUCUAAGCCUAAAAUGUCGUGAACUCCAUCUGAUGUCUACCAUAUAAUAUAUCCCAUAGUACACCUGGUAAGUUUCUGUGCUGCAUCUCAGACUUAUAACUGGAUAAAUCACAUGGAAUUGAGUUUGCUUUGCAGCAUCAUUCAGAGGUGACUUGUCUUAUUAUUUUGUUCAUAUCUAGACAUCGUGGACUUGGAGUUAAAUCUCAGCUUUAUACUUGAGUACAUCAUAUGGGAGUGAGUUUGAUUUGCCACAUUAUUAAGAGAUGAUUUGUCUUGUGAAUUUCUUCAUAUCUAGGCAUCAUGAAGUCUCGCAGUAUGGAUCAAGAAUCAAGAAGUUCAAGUUUUUUCUCCUUUUUGAGAUAUCGGUUUUUGUCACUUAUGAUUUUAUCAACCUCGAAUAUUGGUGUUGUAUGUUUGUAUCUGCAAGACUGAGAUAUUUGUUAGCUAAAAUAAGUUCAUGUUUGUCUCUGUGCACGUGCACGGAUGUGGAUGGCUUUCAAAGGAUUUCAUACAUUUGAUCUAUUUCACUAUUUUGCUUAAACUUCAUUUACUAGCAGUUUUUACAUCUGUCUUGGUUAAAGAACAUCUUUUAUUUCUGAUGCAGGUUUUGAAUUCAACUUAUGCUUUAUGGACAUGGCACAGAAAUCAGGAUAUUUACAAAGACAAUAGUCAUGGUGAUCAAAUAUACAUUGUGCGACAGCCUGAACUGUGCCUUCCUUCAACUUCUUCCAAAGUGGUUUCCAUAUCCAGCAUUUGAUUCCCCAUCAACCACAGUAUAUUCUUUUCUUUUCCCUAAACCAAGAGAAUUGAAUACAACAUUUCGAUUCUACGUCCACCAAAGUAUAUUCUUACAGUCUUUACUAAUAUUUUUUCUGCCGCCUUUCUUCGGGUGAUAGGGUAAUAACAAGACUCAACUGGGAGGAAUCAGAAAUGAAGCCUCUGACAUGUUUAAGCGAGUGUGGUUCCCAUCAGUAAUAAUCAUGGUGGCCAUUGUUGUAACCUGAUCAAAAUCAUACUGGUUCAAAACUUUAUACAAUCAAUUACUUUUAAUAAUGCCAAUGGUUACAUUUUAUAAUUGUGCUUUAUGUCCUUACUGUUUGAUGAUGGUUCAUAUGUUAGUUUCUGGUAUGCUACAGCUUUACUCAGUGUCUGAUUAAGAAGC